GACGCGAUGGCCGAGUGGUCUAAGGCGGUAGACUAGAAAUCUACUCCGCUCUGCGGGCGCAGGUUCAAAUCCUGCUCGCGUCG